UCCCAUCUGAAUUUCAUGAUCCUGUGCACCCCAAUACUUUAUUUCUUGUCUUGUUUCUUCCUUUUGUUGUGUGUGUGUAUGUAUAUUAUAUAUAUACACACACACACAUACAUACAUACACACAGGAUGGGGUGCACAGGAUCAUGAAAUUCAGAUGGGA